rnacentral:misc_RNA from 1 species
UACGAAGGGGGCUAGCGUUGUUCGGAUUUACUGGGCGUAGAGCGCACGUAGGCGGAUCGUCUAGUUAGGGGUGAAAUCCUGGAGCUAAACUCCAGAACUGCCUCUAAUACUGGCGAUCUCGAGUCCGGAAGAGGUGAGUGGAACUCCUAGUGUAGAGGUGGAAUUCGUAGAUAUUAGGAAGAACACCAGUGGCGAAGGCGGCUCACUGGUCCGGUACUGACGCUGAGGUGCGAAAGCGUGGGGAGCAAACAGG